rnacentral:rRNA from 1 species
UACAGAGGUCUCAAGCGUUGUUCGGAUUCAUUGGGCGUAAAGGGUGCGUAGGCGGCGCGGUAAGUCGGGAGUGAAAUGUCGGAGCUUAACUCCGAAACUGCAUUCGAUACUGCCGUGCUUGAGGACUGGAGAGGAGACUGGAAUUUACGGUGUAGCAGUGAAAUGCGUAGAGAUCGGAAGGAAGACCAGUGGCGAAGGCGGGUCUCUGGACAGUUCCUGACGCUGAGGCACGAAGGCCAGGGGAGCAAACGGG